rnacentral:snRNA from 1 species
GGAUGUGAGGGCAAUCUGGCUGCGACAUCUGUCACCCCAUUGAUCGUCAGGGUUGAUUCAGUUGGUCUGGCUGGCUCGGCGGGUGUCCCCUUCCACCCUCACUGCUCCAUGUGUGUUCGGUCGAAGAGGAUGACCAUCCCCAAUAGAGGAGGACCAGUCUUCAGUCAAGGGUGUACGAGUAGCUGCACUCCCCUGCUGGAACCUCCAAACAAGCUCUCAAGACUAGCUUUGGGACUCUCACUACACUGUGGCCACAGAGUUCUGUGCCCAAAGU